rnacentral:rRNA from 1 species
CCUACGGGAGGCAGCAGUGGGGAAUUUUGGACAAUGGGCGCAAGCCUGAUCCAGCUAUUCCGCGUGUGGGAAGACGGCCUUCGGGUUGUAAACCACUUUUGUAGAGAACGAAAAGGCUGUUGAUAAUACCGAUAGAUGAUGACGGUACUCUAAGAAUAAGCACCGGCUAACUACGUGCCAGCAGCCGCGGUAAUACGGAGGGUGCGAGCGUUAAUCGGAAUUACUGGGCGUAAAGGGUGUGCAGGCGGUUUUGCAAGAUGGAUGUGAAAGCCCCGGGCUUAACCUGGGAAAGCCAUACAUGACUGCAAGACUAGAGUGCGUCAGAGGGGGGUGGAAUUCCAAGUGUAGCAGUGAAAUGCGUAGAUAUUUGGAAGAACACCGAUGGCGAAGGCAGCCCCCUGGGACGCAACUGACGCUCAUACACGAAAGCGUGGGGAGCAAACAGGAUUAGAUACCCGAGUAGUC